UACGAAGGGGGCUAGCGUUGCUCGGAAUCACUGGGCGUAAAGCGCACGUAGGCGGUUUCGUAAGUCGGAUGUGAAAACUCCAGCUCAACUUGGAGACGCCAUUCGAUACUGCGAUGACUUGAGUCCGGUAGGGGAGUGUGGAAUUCCUGGUGUAGCGGUGAAAUGCGCAGAUAUCAGGAGGAACACCGGCGGCGGAAGGCGGCACCUCUGGGCCGGUACUGACGCUGAGGAGCGAAAGCGUGGGUAGCAAACAGG
rnacentral:rRNA from 1 species